AGAGAAUCCAGGAUGAGUUAGAUCCUCCAGCUACCCAAAAUGGAACCAUAACUUCAGCUGUCAAUGUCCAAAAGAGGGAUAAUGAACGAGACACGACUCUACUGAACUGAAACUCAAAAUCUCAGCUGUGGAUCAGUCAAGGCUUUACUGCAUGUAUUUAUGGUGUGUUAUGUUCUGGAGAAAGGUAAGAAUUAGAAUACUCUACAGCCUGAGAGAGAUUUCCCACAUAAGGAGGACUAUAUGAUAAAUGGAACAUGGCCUUAUGUUUCAAGUCAGAUGCUACUGGAUAUUGUCUCAGGCAUGUGUGUUGCACAUUUUUGUAUUUUCAUUAUGCUUCUGUGAGACUUCGAGGAGCAGGGGGAAUACGCAAGCUUUUCCAGGUCCUUCUCACCAUUUCCUUUCUUCAAGCCUCUUACAGCACACCCUCUUGACAACAAAUGAAUUUAUUACUGAAGAGGAGAGGAAACGCCAAUGGAUUUAUCACUAAGCUACACUGUGGCUGGGAUGCUGCUGGACUCUGGAAGCAGGAAAGGAGCCCAUCCAGAGCCAGUUUCCAUCCUCGGGUUCUUAGUGCUGCAGCUCUCUUCCGCUCAAAAUAAUGAUGACCAUGACAGCAGCACUCCAGUUGAUUUCAUAGCUCCAAGCAACCAAGAAUAUUCUCUCUUUCACAUCCACACACAUACUCCUCCAGAAAUUCUUCAGAGCCUGAAGCAGUACAAUUAGGGUCGAAGAAUAAUUAGGAGCAUAAGAUAUUAGAUGCAAGUCCCUUGUUCAGAUUUCAGCCAUGUAUUUAUUUAUUUUUAACUUCUCAUAUUUUUAUCAUAUUUAUUUAUCAUAUCGUAAUGUAUACAUGUUCUCUACCUCAGUCUCUAUCAACAAUAAGGGAAUAAUCAUACCUGUCUCUUACAGGGUUGUUCUAAGGAUUAUUGAGACACUAUUAUGUAAAUUACUUUAAGAACUUGGGAAAGAGCAUGUAUGCGGUGCUAAAAUAUUACUAUUAUAAUUGGACUCGGCUGCCUGGUAAGUUUUCUCAGCUAAGCUAUACCUGCUGUGCUCAGGGACUCUUGUUCAGAGUUUAGACAGCCUAGUCCCUGGUAGCUAGUAGUAGUGACACUGGCAACUAUUUAAAGUCAGUUAUCAGAUUUUCUAUUUAUAAAUGCAUCUAUUUUCUUUUCAGUCGUCCUUAGUUAAGACUUUUAAAUGUUCAGUGUGUACCAUCAUUCUCUGCCUUGUCCAUCCCAUGGCUGGCUGACAUCCAGACUAAUGCAGCGCAUGGCUGAGUUACUGAGUUAUUUGUGUGCCAGAGUUGUGCUUGGAUUACUCAAGAAAGGCUCCACACUUAUAGCCUCCUUGAUAUGAAGACAGAGUAUUAUUCAGUGACUCUGUUGGAUGUGAAAUUGCCUAGCAGAGUGUUUGUGUCAAAUGUAUUGCUAGUGUAGUGAUGCUUUUACCACCACUCCACAAGUUCCCUGUUGAGAGGACCAUCAUGCUGUGGACUGUCACACUGUGCUCCUGUUCUGAUGACAGUUACUACAAUAACCCCCUAUUUUAAAACAUACUAUAGUAAAGCCUUAGUACUAGUAUCUAUGCUUAAGUGAAGGAAAGUGUUACCAGGAGUGGCUGAUUUCAGUAUCUGUUCCAGUAUGUGUUAAAUACAAGUAUUGAAAUACGUACUUUCAAUUCUUUUGUAUUUUGUAUCUAAAAUAAUUUUCAGGAAAGUAUUUUGUAUCAAAAAUACAUCUACUCAGGUAUUUUGUAUUUUUAAAAUACAUUGCCCAAACUAAAAUACAUCUCAACCAAUUAUUGCUUUGCUUUCUUGCUUCAGGAGCUACCUUUUUAUUGCAAGCAGGCAGCCUACUGGCUGCCUAGCAUCCUCAUAUGUGUGCUCUGUUCCUCCCUCUCUGCCCCCUGAAAUUGGAAUAGUUUUACUCUGCUGCUGACUGGUCAGCCAGCCAAGUUUGAAAAAUCAAGGGAGGAGAGAGAGACGGUUUCUGUGAGUAAAAUGGGAAAUGGGGAAUGAGAGUGACAUGGGUGUCCACUGGGGGGCGGAGGGGGGUGGAGAUGGGGCAGCCCUGCCCUCAAGAUUUUGGAUGCAAAAGAACUCCCUACCUCACAGCUCCUUUGCUUUAAUUUUUUUUUUUUUUUGUCCUUUUAGCUGCAACACUGCAACUUGAAACCUGACCUGACCUGAAGAGGGUGAAGUUCUUCUGGUCCAGUCUCUGUGUAAAUCUGCAACUUGCCUAUUCCCACUUUGGAAAUAUGUUGCUGAAAAGCAUGAUAUAAAUUAGAAAUGAUUAGUCAUGAAUUCCUUCUGAGUGCUGUGUGUAAAAUUCAGCUCUGUGACUCUGGGGUUACUUUGCUCUUUGACUAUCCUUUACCUUGGCCUCUGUAUUUCUGAUAUGUGAAAUGGGCACAUUUGUUCAAGAAUAUUUUCAUGCAUAAUUCAGAGGCAAUAUGCCAUUCAUUGCAUACAUGUUGCAGGGCAGCAAGGCAGCAGGAGAGGGAAAUCCACACCUUCUCCUGCUUGUGGGCUUCCUUUUGUUAUAAAUUAGAAGUACUCCUGCUGUGGUUGCUAAAUGAAAACAGUUUACAGUUUAUGUAGAUUUUUAUUUGUUAUAAAUAACAGUACUCUGCUGUAGGUUUUUAAUGAAUUUUUAUUUGUUAUAAAUAAUAAACAUAAUCUUGUUGUAAUGGCUUACAACAGGAUUAUUUGUUGUAAGCCACUUACUGUUUUAACCAUG